rnacentral:rRNA from 1 species
CGUAGCAAUACGUCAGUGGCAGACGGGUGAGUAACGCGUGGGAACGUACCUUUUGGUUCGGAACAACUGAGGGAAACUUCAGCUAAUACCGGAUAAGCCCUUACGGGGAAAGAUUUAUCGCCGAAAGAUCGGCCCGCGUCUGAUUAGCUAGUUGGUGAGGUAAUGGCUCACCAAGGCGACGAUCAGUAGCUGGUCUGAGAGGAUGAUCAGCCACAUUGGGACUGAGACACGGCCCAAACUCCUACGGGAGGCAGCAGUGGGGAAUAUUGGACAAUGGGGGCAACCCUGAUCCAGCCAUGCCGCGUGAGUGAUGAAGGCCCUAGGGUUGUAAAGCUCUUUUGUGCGGGAAGAUAAUGACGGUACCGCAAGAAUAAGCCCCGGCUAACUUCGUGCCAGCAGCCGCGGUAAUACGAAGGGGGCUAGCGUUGCUCGGAAUCACUGGGCGUAAAGGGUGCGUAGGCGGGUUUCUAAGUCAGAGGUGAAAGCCUGGAGCUCAACUCCAGAACUGCCUUUGAUACUGGAA